GACGAACGCUGGCGGCGUGCUUAACACAUGCAAGUCGAACGGAAAGGCCCUGCUUUUGUGGGGUGCUCGAGUGGCGAACGGGUGAGUAACACGUGAGUAACCUGCCCUUGACUUUGGGAUAACUUCAGGAAACUGGGGCUAAUACCGGAUAGGAGCUCCUGCUGCAUGGUGGGGGUUGGAAAGUUUCGGCGGUUGGGGAUGGACUCGCGGCUUAUCAGCUUGUUGGUGGGGUAGUGGCUUACCAAGGCUUUGACGGGUAGCCGGCCUGAGAGGGUGACCGGCAACAGUGGGACUGAGAGACGGCCCAGACUCCUACGGGAGGCAGCAGUGGGGAAUAUUGCACAAUGGGCGGAAGCCUGAUGCAGCAACGCCGCGUGCGGGAUGACGGCCUUCGGGUUGUAAACCGCUUUCGCCUGUGACGAAGCGUGAGUGACGGUAAUGGGUAAAGAAGCACCGGCUAACUACGUG
rnacentral:rRNA from 1 species